CCCAGGCUGCUCGAAUUUUGCCUCGCAAUGUCCGCAGUACCGUCGCGGUAAAUCGUCGAUUGCGCAACGGCGCCAUCUUCAUCUGUGAGUACGUCCGCGGGACAGUUUUCCGGCGAGCGAUUUCGAGCGAACCAGUGCACUUCAACGACCGUCACCAAUUUCGCCUCGUGAUUUCGAGUGGAUUCAUUUGCUUCAUCAUCGGCAGGAAUCGUAGGAGGCUCGACGUCGACCACAGCGACUAUUUCCAGUAACCUCCGUCUAAUUGUGGUUGUGCUGAUUGCAACGAGUGUUUCUGCGAAGAGUGUACAAACUCGUCCU